rnacentral:rRNA from 1 species
CACUCCUGCGGGAGGCAGCAGUGGGGAAUAUUGCACAAUGGGCGCAAGCCUGAUGCAGCCAUGCCGCGUGUGUGAAGAAGGCCUUCGGGUUGUAAAGCACUUUCAGCGGGGAGGAAGGCGAUACGGUUAAUAACCGUGUUGAUUGACGUUACCCGCAGAAGAAGCACCGGCUAACUCCGUGCCAGCAGCCGCGGUAAUACGGAGGGUGCAAGCGUUAAUCGGAAUUACUGGGCGUAAAGCGCACGCAGGCGGUCUGUCAAGUCGGAUGUGAAAUCCCCGGGCUCAACCUGGGAACUGCAUUCGAAACUGGCAGGCUUGAGUCUUGUAGAGGGGGGUAGAAUUCCAGGUGUAGCGGUGAAAUGCGUAGAGAUCUGGAGGAAUACCGGUGGCGAAGACGGCCCCCUGGACAAAGACUGACGCUCAGGUGCGAAAGCGUGGGGAGCAAACAGGAUUAGAUACCCCUGUAGUCCCAUGA